UACGAAGGGGGCUAGCGUUGUUCGGAAUUACUGGGCGUAAAGCGCGCGCAGGCGGCUAUCCAAGUCAGUGGUGAAAGCCCGGAGCUCAACUCCGGAACUGCCAUUGAAACUGUUUAGCUUGAGGAUGAGAGAGGUGAGUGGAAUUCCCAGUGUAGAGGUGAAAUUCGUAGAUAUUCGGAGGAACACCAGUGGCGAAGGCGGCUCACUGGUCCGGUACUGACGCUGAGGUGCGAAAGCGUGGGGAGCAAACAGGG
rnacentral:rRNA from 1 species